GGGACGAACGCUGGCGGCGUGCUUAACACAUGCAAGUCGAGCGGAAAGGCCCUUCGGGGUACUCGAGCGGCGAACGGGUGAGUAACACGUGGGUAACCUGCCCCUUGCUCUGGGAUAACUCCGGGAAACCGGGGCUAAUACCAGAUAUGACGACUCGCAGGCAUCUGCUGGGUGUGGAAAGUUUUUCGGCGAGGGAUGGGCCCGCGGCCUAUCAGCUUGUUGGUGGGUGAUGGCCUACCAAGGCAGUGACGGGUA
rnacentral:rRNA from 1 species